GAUGAACGCUGGCGGCGUGCUUAACACAUGCAAGUCGAACGAGAAAUGGAGACGGAAACCUUCGGGCGGAAGGCUUCAUUUCGAGUGGCGGACGGGUGAGUAACGCGUGGGUAACCUGCCUCAUACAGGGGGAUAACAGUUGGAAACGACUGUUAAUACCGCAUAAGACCACAGCACCGCAUGGUGCGGGGGUAAAAACUCCGGUGGUAUGAGAUGGACCCGCGUUCGAUUAGCCAGUUGGCGGGGUAACGGCCCACCAAAGCGACGAUCGAUAGCCGAUCUGAGAGGAUGACCGGCCACAUUGGGACUGAGACACGGCCCAAACUCCUACGGGAGGCAGCAGUGGGGAAUAUUGCACAAUGGGGGAAACCCUGAUGCAGCGACGCCGCGUGAGUGAAGAAGUACUUCGGCAUGUAAAGCUCUAUCAGCAGGGAAGAAAAUGACGGUACCUGAGUAAGAAGCCCCGGCUAACUACGUG
rnacentral:rRNA from 1 species